rnacentral:misc_RNA from 1 species
CAACCCUCAAGCACUGCUUGGUGUUGGGGCCCUGCGGCAACGCAGGCCCUUAAAACUAGUGGCGGGCUCGCUGUGACUCCGAGCGUAGUAGUUCUCUCUCGCUUAGGAGGCCUUGGCGGGCUCUAGCCGUUAAACCCCCAUCUUAUAGAA